GAAACAUCCACAAAAGAAAUAUCAAGGUUAAAAGAAGUAGCUAAUGAGUGGGCUGAGAAAGCGAAACGAAAGCAAGAAAGUUUUGUUAAAUUACAAGAUGAAAAAGA
rnacentral:lncRNA from 1 species